AGUUUGAUCAUGGCUCAGAUUGAACGCUGGCGGCAUGCUUUACACAUGCAAGUCGAACGGUAACAGGCCGCAAGGUGCUGACGAGUGGCGAACGGGUGAGUAAUGUAUCGGAACGUGCCCAGUCGUGGGGGAUAACGCAGCGAAAGCUGCGCUAAUACCGCAUACGAUCUAUGGAUGAAAGCGGGGGACCGUAAGGCCUCGCGCGAUUGGAGCGGCCGAUAUCAGAUUAGGUAGUUGGUGGGGUAAAGGCUCACCAAGCCAACGAUCUGUAGCUGGUCUGAGAGGACGACCAGCCACACUGGGACUGAGACACGGCCCAGACUCCUACGGGAGGCAGCAGUGGGGAAUUUUGGACAAUGGGCGCAAGCCUGAUCCAGCAAUGCCGCGUGCAGGAAGAAGGCCUUCGGGUUGUAAACUGCUUUUGUACGGAACGAAACGGUCCUGGUUAAUACCUGGGGCUAAUGACGGUACCGUAAGAAUAAGCACCGGCUAACUACGUGCCAGCAGCCGCGGUAAUACGUAGGGUGCGAGCGUUAAUCGGAAUUACUGGGCGUAAAGCGUGCGCAGGCGGUUUUGUAAGACAGGCGUGAAAUCCCCGGGCUUAACCUGGGAAUGGCGUUUGUGACUGCAAAGCUGGAGUGCGGCAGAGGGGGAUGGAAUUCCGCGUGUAGCAGUGAAAUUCGUAGAUAUUCGGAAGAACACCAGUGGCGAA
rnacentral:rRNA from 1 species